GAUGAACGCUGACAGAAUGCUUAACACAUGCAAGUCCACUUGAACUUCGGUUUGGGUGGCGGACGGGUGAGUAACGCGUAAAGAACUUGCCUCACAGAUAGGGACAACAUUUGGAAACGAAUGCUAAUACCUGAUAUUAUGAUUAUAUGGCAUCGUAUAAUUAUGAAAGCUAUAUGCGCCGUGAGAGAGCUUUGCGUCCCAUUAGCUAGUUGGAGAGGUAACGGCUCACCAAGGCGAUGAUGGGUAGCCGGCCUGAGAGGGUGAUCGGCCACAAGGGGACUGAGACACGGCCCGUACUCCUACGGGAGGCAGCAGUGGGGAAUAUUGGACAAUGGACCAAGAGUCUGAUCCAGCAAUUCUGUGCGCACGAUGAAGUUUUUCGGAAUGUAAAGUGCUUUCAGUUGGGAAGAAAAAAAUGACGGUACCAACAGAAGAAGUGACGGCUAAAUACGUG
rnacentral:rRNA from 1 species